ACACACUGUAGGAGAGAGGAAAUGUAUUCUGAUUAAAGUCUUUCACUCACGGUGAAGGUCAGUUCACAUUCACCAGAAGAAACACUGAACUCGGACAGAACGCUUCGCUAAAUUUAGUGCCAAAAUCCAUUGUUCCUCUGGAAUUCUCAAAUUGGGUGAGUCGUCUUAAUUUUGUCCGAAUCUUAUCUGGCGAGGUGUUUGUUUAUUUUAGGUCGCAUCGGAUUUUUCAUUAAGGAAUAAAAAGCCGGCUUAGAAGAGAUUAAAAAUCCGAAGGAUGAAAGGAGUUAAUUAAGACGAUUGCGGCUGUAAAAAUCCCCCAGACCGGUAUUGCUCGGAUCGCAUCACAAUUAAACAAUUAAACUGGCUAAUUGGUGCUUCCUCUGCAAUAAACAAUUACAGAGACCGGAUGGACAACGUGGUGAUGGCCAAAUAAUCGGGACUCAACAGAGCAUUUGAACGACUCGUCUGCUGAAACAGAAUAACUCAUUAAAAUUAUUAGUUCGCAUGAGUGCUUUGGGAAUAUUUAUGCCACCCACCUCAUUUUGACUCACGAGAACAUGAGUAACAUUCUUAGGAGCUCCCGUAUGACGCGUGGGCGUUUCUCGGGGGGUCUGGAGUCUUCACUUUCGGAAAAGGAACACAACAUGGAUAAAAAAGCGAGCUAUAACGUGGUAACUGAUAGAAAUGAAAUGAUAACUAAUUUCUAGAAAGUCAUUCUGAACUGAUUUUAUUUAGUGGAGCCAAGUCGUGGAAAAACCUGAACAAUAAAACUUUUUAUAUUUUUUAAAUGGAUUUAGAUCGUCUGAAAGUGGAUGUUUAAUUUGAUCACGAACAUUAAUUAGUGAAUGUGAUACCCACGCAGUGUGCAUUUGUUUUUGUUAAUGUGUGUUUUCAGACUGCGCAAACAAUAUAGAUAUUUUGAGAAAAUUAAUUAUGUAUUAACUUAAGUUUCUUAAUUUCUUAAUUGGGUGAUUGGGUCUUAAAUGUAAGUCGUGCCGUUAUUGAUGAGGUCAAGAUAAAUCUCUUUGAAGUCAUAACCUACUCCGGUGAAGUUUUUACACUGUUUCUUAUAAAAACACUCCAUCUACAAUUCAGAAACAAGACUUCGUCUUGUACUAAAGUUUUUCCGAAAACAUGACGUCCUUUCACUCACGUUCUCGAACUGUCAUGUUUUUGAAAAAUACACCAUGUUCUAAUAAAACUUAAACCACUGUUAUCACAUCAUUUAUAGUAUAUAAAACUAUCAUGUUAAGAAGUUUGGAGCUGUGAAUACGUGAUUAAUAAUUCAUUUAUGGCGAUGAUAUUUUACAGAGUUUGUAUUUAUUAAAAAAAAAAAAAAAAACGCAGCGAAAGGCGAAGUGUUUUGAUGUAAUAUCUAAAAUAAAAUAAAUAUCUGCUUUUGUAUAAAAUCAGGUUACACAGAAAGUGUUAACCAAAUUACGGAAAAUCUUCUUUUAUUAUAUACUUUUUUUUAUUAAUCCAGGAAUUAAGACACAUAAAAAGGACUUUAAAUUAGCAAAACAGAGCUUGUGAUGACGACCGUCAUCAUUCCUUCGAGGUUCUUUCACUUUAAUUACGUAUAAUAGUGUACGUUCUUACGGACAUAUCUAAUUAAUAAUUACGCACUACUUCAGUGCAAUAAUGUUCAAUUAUAAGUACUUAGCACAAAUGAUAGUUAAUUUUGUUGAACAUUCUUACUUUCGCAAGAAAUGUUUUUUCAUUCGCAAAUAAAAUCAGUUCAUGUUUUUGUUUAGAGUAUAAUUUUAUGUUUAGUCUUAAAUUUUUUUGGGCGUAAAGUGACUAUUAAUGAACGUAUUUGAAAGUGGACAGGUUUUAUAUUCCAAAAUUUUGUACUUCUUCAUUUGCUGGACCUAUAAAAAACUAGUUCCAAUUAAAAUUUAACCAUAAUUAUUACUACGCUGCCGUUAUCCUUUAUUUUCCAUAAAUAUACGAAUUUGCGGAAAUAUCAAGUUAAACAGACUGAAUUGUUGCAAAAGCACGAAUGUACAGAUUUGUUAUGUUUUAAAUGUGUUAAAUUAACAGUAAUAAUGCAUUUCACUAUUUCACGUUUGAAAUUUCUGUACAUAUUUGGCGUCUCACUGGAUUAACAAUGAAAAUUAUAAUCAUAUUUGCAUUUUCAUCUCUGAACUGUUUGCAGGAUAUUAUAAAUUCCAAGUUUAUUUUGAAUAAUAAAUUAAUAAAUUUCCAUGGACACACGAUAAUAUGCUGCAGCAGGACUGUAACUGGUAUGAUAAGCAUGUUUUAUGGUAGAAAUGUACAAAAUAUUCUUGAAAUAAAACCGAACUGCGCGUCGAACAGCGAACUAUUUGCAUAAACUAACUCAAAAUUAUCCGCGUUUAAAUUUAAUAACUCCAGUUUGGUAGUUAUUUUUCGAUUCGUCUUGUGGUCCUUCUUUGUUAAAAAUGGUCCACAAUUGCGACUGCAUUAAUUUAAUCGUGGUCGAUUACCAGUAUUAAUAAGUAUGAGUGGAAAUUAGCGUUGGUUUUAUCGCUAAUGUGUCCGAUUAAAAGAAGGCGCGUAGUUGUCAGCAUCUUAUCUGUGUCGCAUUAGUCGAAUCCCGGAGUCCGUGACAAGGUAACGUCUCAAUUCCAGAUAAAACCUCCCAGACGAGUCCUCGAUCUAAUUAGCGAGUCGGAAUCUUUCCAUAAAUCAUUAUCAUUCCGGUUAAGUGUCGGUAUUAUCUAAGACCCACUCACUGAAUAAAACAACACGUAAGUUUCAUUAGCUAACAGGAUGAGAUGUGAGUGUGGAUCGUUGUUCAUUUCUUGCUAAGGCGCUGUUGCGAUAGGUAAUAUAGAUCUAAAGUCUACUUAAGAUAAGGAGGGUGUCGCAAAAAAUAUUACAAAUGAUUAGUCCUUAAUUAUAUUGUUAGACUUUGGAGUCACUAAUCCUGAAUUUUGCGGUGAAGAAUAGGGGUUAUAAAGGUAAGUAAGGUAUUAAUUUUUUAAAAUAUACAAAAUACGACAAACCCUAACAAUGUAACUAAUAAGUUGUAUUAUUAUUAACUUCUUUAACCCCCCAAAAAAUUACAAAUACUUAUAUUUUGUUCUCAGUUUAGCCGAAUAGUUUUAAAAUUGGCACCUUUGGCUGGAUUUGAACUUGUAGACUGUUACCACUAAGCUGAUAGCUCUGCACAUUUGAUGUAGUUCACAACACAUUCAAGUCCCAUUUGUGAUGCCAUCUACUGAAGAAAACAGAAAUUAUUUAAUUCAAUAUGUAAUAAAAUUCUAAUUAAUUUUUAUAUACUCGAAUUCAAGAUUCAAAACGAUCUUUGUAGUCUACUGAUGAAAACAGAGUGUUAAGUAUACAGGUGAUCCAAAAAUGACGAAAACUCUCGACGGUAGGUUAAGAACUCUGAAGAACUUUCAAAACAUGAUUAACAAAAUCUUUGAACUAAAUUUUUGAAAAUAUUAAACUUCAAAGUUAAAGAAUGACUUCGUAAUUCUCAGAAGUUUGAAUUUGAUUGACAGUCUAAAAUUCUGAUACAAA